rnacentral:tRNA from 1 species
CUGGAAGUGCGGCUGGAUCACCUCCUUUCUAAGAGAAAGAUAAACUAAGGCUAAUUCCAUUAACUCUUCUCUACUCUUUUCUUUUGAUAAAAGAGUUUUUAAAACCAGUGUUAUUUUUUAAGUUUAGUAGGAAUUUGUGUAUUAAACUUUUUAUUAAUGAUAUUAAAACGCUCUAUCAAGUUUAGAUCAUUUUGGGGGUUUAGCUCAGUUGGCUAGAGCAUCGGCUUUGCAAGCCGAGGGUCAAGGGUUCGAGUCCCUUAACCUCCAUUUGGCAUGCGCCUUGGAUUGUGAUUAAACGUGUUUUCAAGAAAUUUGUUAAAGUAAUUAUUUGAAGAUGAAACAGAAUAAGUUAGAAUUUUUUAAUACCAAGGAGAAUGUCUAGGAGCAAAAGCAAACCCCUUAUAAAAACUUACGUUGUGACGCUCAAUCAUAAGGAUUAAAUAAGGUUACAUUUUUAAGUAGUUUAUUUUAAUAAACACCCCACACUCAUUACUAACUUUUAAUUGGAAAUUAAUGUGGGUCGUUUGGCGUGAUGUCUGGGGGGCAAGUCUUGUAGCGAGCUGCAACUUUUGUUAUCGUUACCACUAUGUAAUGAUAGGGAUUUGUAUAAGAUUUUGGCUAUAAAGCGGAGGGUAAGGCUUGUGUUCAAGUUAUUGCUCUUAUAUCCUGCGUACGUGUUUACAAUAUCCUGUAUAUUAGAAUGAUAUGGCGAAUGCGUUUUCAGGUCUUAUAUACACCUGAUUGGUAGAUUAUCUGGGUAUAAGAAUACUCAAAGUAUUAUCUUAGCUCGUAAAGGGGGGCAUUAAUAUAUUUUUAGGUGGGGGGGUGUCGUAACAAUAGAAUGAUACUUUUCAGUAUAACCGGAUUAUCCUCUUUUAAAGAAAAAGAUAAAUUAAGAUCAAAAAAAUUGUCCACUCUUUGUACGUUUAUUUUAAUGAAAAAGUUUUUGAAAUCAAUGUAAAUUUUUGAUUUAAAAUUUAGAAAAAUAAAUCUUUAGUAAAUGUUUGCCAGUAUUCAGCUUUAUAUUAAUUAAGAUUUGGUUUAAUAGUAAUUACAGUUUUAGAUUUUAAGGUCAAGGUUUUUAUAUUAUUAAUUAUAGUUUAAAGCGAUAUUGCCAUACUAAAACGAUGAAAUACAUGGACCAGGAUGAGUGAACAUCCGACCUCA